UCCAAAACUGCAUACUUCUUCAUAUGCCCAUAUGAAAUGCUUUGCUAUGGAAUGUAAAGAAGUAUGUAUUUUUGGG
rnacentral:pre_miRNA from 1 species